AGAGCGAACGCUGGCGGCAGGCUUAACACAUGCAAGUCGAACGCGUGUAGCAAUACACGAGUGGCGCACGGGUGAGUAACGCGUGGGCAUCUGCCUCAUGGUUCGGAAUAACCCCGGGAACUGGGGCUAAUACCGGAUGGUACCUUCGGGUUAAAGAUUUAUCGCCAUGAGAUGAGCCCGCGUCCGAUUAGCUAGUUGGUGAGGUAACGGCUCACCAAGGCGACGAUCGGUAGCUGGUCUGAGAGGACGAUCAGCCACACUGGGACUGAGACACGGCCCAGACUCCUACGGGAGGCAGCAGUGGGGAAUAUUGGACAAUGGGGGCAACCCUGAUCCAGCCAUGCCGCGUGAGUGAUGAAGGCCUUCGGGUUGUAAAGCUCUUUUAGCGGGGUACGAUGAUGACGGUACCCGCAGAAUAAGCCCGGCUAACUUCGUGCCAGCAGCCGC
rnacentral:rRNA from 1 species